rnacentral:rRNA from 1 species
CCCUAUGGGGUGCAGCAGCUGAGGAACUUUUACAAUGCUCGAAAGAGUGAUAAAAUGAACCAGAGUGUUACUCUCAUGAGUAACUUUUGUUUGCUGUAAAAAGGCAGACGAAUAAGGACUGGGCAAGACCGGUGCCAGCCGCCGCGGUAAUACCGGCGGUCCGAGUCGCAUCCACAUUUAUUGGGUCUAAAACAUCCGUAGCUUGUUUUGUAAGUCUCUUGUGAAAUCCCAAGUCUCAAGCUUGGGGCGUGCAAGAGAUACUGCAUUGCUUUGAGACCGGAAGACGUAAGGAGUAUGAUUGAGGUAGCGGUAAAAUGUGUUAAUCUUGAUCAGACUAACAAUGGCGAAGGCACCUUACGAGUACGGAUCUGACAGUCAGGGAUGAAGGCUAGGGGCGCGAAAGGGAUUAGAUACCCCUGUAGUCCUAGCAGUAAACACUGCUCACUAAACAUCGGUACCUCCUCGAGAGGUGUCGGUGCUGUAGAGAAGUCGAAGAGUGAGCUACCUGGGAAGUAUAGUCGCAAGGCCGAAACUUAAAGGAAUUGGCGGGGAGGCACUACAACGGGUGACGCGUGCGGUUUAAUUAGAGUCUACACCGUGAAUCUCACCAGGAGCGACAGCAGAAUGAAGGUCAGUCUAAAGGGCUUACCUGACACGCUGAGAGGAAGUGCAUGG